ACUGCUCAGUAACACGUGGACAACCUGCCCUUAGGUUGGGUAUAAACCCGGGAAACUGGGUAUAAUACCCGAUAGGUCUCGAUUGCUGGAAUGCAUCGAGAUUUAAAGCUCCGGCGCCUAAGGAUGGGUCUGCGGCCUAUCAGGUAGUAGUGGGUGUAGCGUACCUACUAGCCUACGACGGGUACGGGUUGUGAGAGCAAGAGCCCGGAGAUGGAUUCUGAGACACGAAUCCAGGCCCUACGGGGUGCAGCAGGCGCGAAAACUUUACAAUGCUGGCAACAGCGAUAAGGGAACCUCGAGUGCCAGGUUACAAAUCUGGCUGUCGAGAUGCCUAAAAAGCAUUUCAUAGCAAGGGCCGGGCAAGACCGGUGCCAGCCGCCGCGGUAACACCGGCGGCUCGAGUGGUAACCGUUAUUAUUGGGUCUAAAGGGUCUGUAGCCGGCCGGAUAAGUCUCUUGAGAAAUCUGGCAGCUUAACUGUCAGGCUUUCAGGAGAUACUGUCUGGCUCGAGGCCGGGAGAGGUGAGAGGUACUUCAGGGGUAGGGGUGAAAUCUUGUAAUCCUUGAAGGACCACCAGUGGCGAAGGCGUCUCACCAGAACGGACCUGACGGCAAGGGACGAAAGCUAGGGGCACGAACCGGAUUAGAUACCCGGGUAGUCCUAGCCGUAAACGAUACUCGCUGGGUGUCGGCCACGGUGCGACCGUUGUCGGUGCCGUAGGGAAGCCGUGAAGCGAGCCACCUGGGAAGUACGGCCGCAAGGCUGAAACUUAAAGGAAUUGGCGGGGGAGCAC
rnacentral:rRNA from 1 species